rnacentral:lncRNA from 1 species
AUCAUUGUCAUUACCAUACAUUAAUUAACCAUCACUAAAAUUUAUCCAAACAGGGUGUAAGAGAGAGAGAGAGGGGUUGUCGACGGAUGGCGAGGAAGGAAAAAAAAAAGAGCGAACGAGGGAAACAACAACCAGAUCAACAUUGUUGUUGGGAGCAAGAGGUAAGAUAAUUUCAGCCCUUUUCGAUUCGAAUUUGAGUUUAAAGUGCAUGUUAAUUCAUUUAAAUCGCAUAAGGAAGAUUUAAAAUGGAAAUCUAGAAAACAGAGUAAGGUAUAGCAUCAUAUGAAUUUACAAAUGGGCGUACAUACAUGUGUAUUCCUUUAUCUUUCAAAUAAAUAUUAAAUAUGGGUGUGUUAGUGUUUAAAGAAGAGGACUUAGAUGUGUUGGUGGUUCGAGUAUUCCGCGCAUAAAUCUGGUGAGAUAUGGCUAAGAUAAUGAGGUGAGUUUAAUCAAGUAAUGGUUUAGGAAAGGAAAACAAGAAAAAAAAGAAGAGGAAAAGAAAAUUUUGGAAGUACAGGAGUCGUUGAGGAAAAGAUAGGUAGCCACCGAAAGUGGGAGAAGGGAUUCUGGGUAGGUACAUUCAACCAAAUAAAUUUUGGAAUUAAAUUGGAGACAAAAACCUGACAAACCAAAUACAUAAAGGGAAAGAAUAAUGAGGGAAGGUGUUCAAGGUGAUGGAGAAUAGUGAACCAAAUAAAGUUAGGUUUAAGGAAACUCUCAGAUGACUCACAUAAUUAAUUUAAAGAUUUAUUACUGGGAAUGAAACUAGACUAGGACUACUGAAUGUAAGCCUUGAAAGGAGUUGAGUGUUGAAUCUAGAAUAUGAUGGGUAAAAAUGAGACAAAAUUGGGAAGGUUAAAUUAUCCAAACUAGAGGCUAGAUGUAGGAUGGGAUUGAGUUGGAAUGAAAACAUAUUUUUCUGUGUUGAUGAUCUCUCAUUGUGGUGUGUGUGUGGCCUAUGUUGGCCGUGUGAUGUGAUUCGAUGUGUAAAGUGCAAGCUUUGUGUAUGUACGUGCAUUACUUUCUGGUGUGACCAAUGCAAAUAGGGAGUUGGGCUGGCGGAGCCAA